CAGAAUCCCGCCUAGACGUAAUGAUACCGGAGCGCCGCGGAUCUUCGGUUGGUCUCGGAUAGCCGGCUCCGGCCGGUGCGGAGAGCCGUUCGUCACGGGGCUGGGGUGUGACCCGAGGGUGGUCGCCCCUCUCCCAUAGCGCACAGCAUGUUCGUGGAGAACCUGGUGCUAAAUCACUUGCAGACGACCUGAUUCUGGGUCAGGGUUUCGUGCGUCGNAGAGCAGCUACCUCGCUGCGAUCU
rnacentral:rRNA from 1 species